rnacentral:lncRNA from 1 species
AUGCAGAUCUUUCUUUCCUCCAAGGCAGGCAUUCCUCCCACAGCACCAAAACAAAAAUCAACCAGGCCAGGCAUGGUGGCUCACACCUGUAAUUCCAGCACUUGAGGAAGCCGAGGUGGAAGGAUCACUUCAGUCCAGGACUUCAUGGUCAGCAUAGGUAACAUAGAGAGAUCCCAUCUUUAUUUAAGUAGAAAAUUAAUUUAUUAAAAGAAUGGUUGGUUAUGCCUCGCGUGAGUGACAGAGCCAGGGUUUUGUCUUCUAUCUUCAGGGCAGGGUACAGCUGGGUAUUGGAAUUGUACCAAGCAGUGUUUCCCAAGGGGGCACAGAGGGAGGGCCCCUCUCCGGGCACUGUGCGGGAGCCACUUCCCCAAACAGUCCCCGUUCUGCAAGGGCCCCGGCGUUGCUGCCCCCGAGACCCGGGUGCCUGCCCCGGCGGUGCGGGUCGCGGGCCUCCGCUCUCGCCGUCCUCCCUCAGUCCCGGGCCUCCUGCAUCGCGGUCGCCAGGCGCAGGCUCAGCGCGGCUGACAGCGCUCCAGCUCCCGCGCUCGCGGCCGCCUCAGGCAGCCGACCGGGUUGGGGCGGCCCCGCGCUCGGCCCGGGAGCCGAUCCGCUGUGAGGGCUCCUCCAUCUCCUCCCACCCCGUGACCUGCUCGACGCGCAACAGCCCGAGUUGUCUUUAACUUGCUGCGGCAGCCUCUUUGUCCCGACCCAGGGUCGGGGGCACCUCUCGGCCUGGCCCGGCCCUGCCCGUAGCCGUGUGAGCGGGGGCCGGGACUGGGCCGCGGGACCGGCCGCGACCGCCGCGGCCGGCCCGGAGGACGCCUGCCGCCGCCGCCGCCGCGCGCCUAGCGAGUCAUGGGCUGAUGUUUUCCUAAUAUGUGUAAAAUAUGAAUUGCAAGAAAAAUGAAAUUAAAAACCACAAUAUAUAAUUUCCAUUUCAAAAAUUAUUGGAUUCAGUAGAUGUAACAUUUAUCUGUCAAAUUGCUACCAAAGUUUCUAAAUGCUUGCUCUCACCCUCUCUCCUUACUCCUCAUGGACUAGGUGAGUGCCAGUUUGCCAUCUAGGAACUAGACUUUGACUAGCACUGCCUGGAGUGUUACUGCUUGAUUCUUUUUAAAAUGAUAGACUAGUGAUUAGCCAUUCAGUUGAACUUCUCUGCUGUUUUCCAUGGAUUUUUGUAGGGACACCUUCAAUGUGAAGCCCAUUUUAGUCCUUAAUGGGGAGGGAUGUUUGGGAUUGUUUUGAGGGCAGAUGUAGCAGCGGCAAGCUGCUUUCCACAGUGACUGACCUCAUUUACAUUUCAACCACCAGCAUAUAAGCAUUUCCUUUUCCCUACAGCUGCACCAGCAUGUUAUUUUUUGACUUUUUAAUAAUAGUCAUUCUGACUGGUGUGAGGUGAUAUCUCACUGUGAUUUUGAUUUGCAUUUCUCUAAUGAUUAGAGAUGUUGAACAUUUUUUCAUAUGCUUAUUGGCCGUGUGUAUGUCUUCUUUUGAGAAGUGUCUGUUCAUGUUCCUUUGUCCAUCUUUUAAUAGGAUUGUUUGUUUUUUGCUUGCUGAUUUGAUAACAAGAUUUUUAUGUUGGUAUUUAUAAGUUGAACACCAAGAUAUUGCUAAAUAGGCUAGUCCCUCAAUCUGGCAUGUUAGAAACUGCGUAAAUUAGGACUCAGAGGACCACCUGGUUUUAGUUUCUACUUUGCCACUCCCUACCUAUAUCACUAGACCUAAAUUUCCUGAACAGUAAAAACAAGGAUGUUGCCCUGAAUAAGCUAUAAUUUACUUUUCAUCUCAGAUAUUCUUUAAUUUUGGAACCCAUGCAAAAUAUCUGGUUAAAUUUAAUUAGGAGUUAAGAAGGUGAGGAUUUUGCAGAACAGGUGUAUGGUUUCAUAGUCUAGUAGCCCCAAGAUGUUCUGUUUCUACAACUUCUCUGUAAAUGGCACUGGCAAAAGAGCCAUUGUGUUUCUGCUUCCUUCUGUGAUGCCUUACUCUAUGGUUGUUUCUGCCCUGUUUGGCUUGGGAUUCCUGGGUUCCUUGCAUGCAUGCUGUAGCAUAGGAUUGGGUGUUGGUACUAGUUACAUACAGAGGCU